UCCGUAGGUGAACCUGCGGAAGGAUCAUUAAUGAAAUGUCAAGAAGGGUUGUUGCUGGCCUUACGGGGCAUGUGCACGCCUUGAUUGCUCAUCCUCUCACACCUGUGCACUACCUGUAGCUUGGGAUGAUUACGAAGUCGGAAACGACAUCGAAAGCCCUCGCUAUGUUUUUUAUAUACACACACACAAAGUUAUAGAAUGUACAAAGUUAUAGCGUAUAACAGCGCAAAUAAAUACAACUUUCAGCAACGGAUCUCUUGGCUCUCGCAUCGAUGAAGAACGCAGCGAAAUGCGAUAAGUAAUGUGAAUUGCAGAAUUCAGUGAAUCAUCGAAUCUUUGAACGCACCUUGCGCUCCUUGGUAUUCCGAGGAGCAUGCCUGUUUGAGUGUCAUGAAAUUCUCAACUGCUUCAAUUUGAAGUGAAGUUGGACUUUGGAGGAUAAUUGCUGGCGCAACUUUGUUGCUUGUUAGCUCCUCUUGAAUAAAUGAGCCUACCUUUCCAUGGCAAAGUAAUGGCCGAUGUGAUAAUUAUCUACAUUGGACGUGAAAGAUCCUACAAGGAACAGGGGCGUGUUUUUGGGGCAUGACAAAU
rnacentral:rRNA from 1 species